GAGGUGCUUGAGAGUGUAAUCUGGGCCAAAGGCUGCCCGAAUCGCUCAGCCACUGUCCAAAUCACGCUGGUUAGUGAGACCCAUGCUAACCUGGACCGGAGUGGACGGGGAUCAUGUGACAGUAGGAGUCACCCUGACAGCUUUGUGUUGCUUUGAAGCAAACUGUCAAGAAGAUAAUGAAUAUCUUCAGGGCCUAGAAGUUGAGAGUGUGCAAGCUCAACUUUAGUCCUUUUUAAUUAAAUUCUUUCCCGUCACCGUUUCAUUCCACAUGCUGAUGUCUCCCCACAUCUUCCCCCAGGUAGGACAUUUGUUUCUCUGAUUCAGAUCAUUUCCUAGCUCACCUGUGUGGAUUUCCUCACUCCACAAUGCUAGAUUGCCUGCUAAGAAGGGGAUGUAAUUCAUGGAAGUUUGUACAGUCACUGACAGAACUAAAGCUAGAAGCUAGACAAUUUAAUCGAAGAUAAAUGACUUAAUUUUAAAAUCUGUGGGCAACAUAAAAACUUAAAUGCUGUAA